rnacentral:misc_RNA from 1 species
GGUAUCCUGUGUUGCUUACCCAUGUAAAGGAAUUCGAUGGUUUUGGUGCCCCCAUCCUCCUUGAGCCCUUUGGGGUACGGGGUGGACAAAAGGCGGGCUCCGUGUUCCCUGCGUGUCGAGUGCAUUGACGUUCGUCCGUUGUGGCCUAUGGGGUCUCGGUCCGUGCUCUCGGAUUUGGAAUGUUGUGUGUGGGCGUGGGGUCUUGGCCUCUGAUCGUCCAACGU